rnacentral:pre_miRNA from 1 species
UGGAAGACUAGUGAUUUUGUUGUUUUUAGAUAACUGAAUCGACAACAAAUCACAGUCUGCCAUA